GAUGAACGCUAGCGAUAGGCUUAACACAUGCAAGUCGAGGGGCAGCAUGGUCUUAGCUUGCUAAGGCUGAUGGCGACCGGCGCACGGGUGCGUAACGCGUAUGCAACUUGCCUCACAGAGGGGGAUAACCCGUCGAAAGACGGACUAAUACCGCGUACACUCUAUGUUGGGCAUCCAAUGUAGAGGAAAUGAAAUUCGCUGUGAGAUAGGCAUGCGUCCCAUUAGCUAGUUGGUGAGGUAACGGCUCACCAAGGCGACGAUGGGUAGGGGAACUGAGAGGUUGAACCCCCACACUGGUACUGAGACACGGACCAGACUCCUACGGGAGGCAGCAGUGAGGAAUAUUGGUCAAUGGGCGAGAGCCUGAACCAGCCAAGUCGCGUGAAGGAUGACUGUCUUAGGGAUUGUAAACUUCUUUUAUACGGGAAUAACAAGAGUCACGUGUGGCUCCCUGCAUGUACCGGAUGAAUAAGCAUCGGCUAACUCCGUG
rnacentral:rRNA from 1 species